UGUUAUUCCAGCAAUUGUGGCUCGCUCGUUCCAUUGAAACUUCCCUGCUCUGCCGAGAGUUUGAGAUGUCAAAUCCAGGGCACAUUUGCAAGGAAGUUUGCCAAAAGAGUGUCGGUUAAUGGGCAUUGUGGAUCACCGUACCUGCCGAAUGCUGUAAAUUCCCAGGAAAACUUGCUGCGUGUUUGAUUGCCGUCAUGAAUCUCUCUGUAAAGUCAAAUUCACUGCAUUUUUAAUGCCGUCAAUCCCAUUACAACCUCACUCCUGGCCUAAUUGCUGUUCCCUGGACACAAUGGGGUGGAUCUUUCCUGCCUUGGCACAUUUGGAUGUUCAUCCGAAUAUGUGGCAGAUUGUCUGCUGGCAACAAAGAAGUUGGAAAAUGACAGCCGUGGCCACCCACCGAAGGCCUGGAUAUAAUGGGGAGUGAGAGCAAAGCCUCUGUACUUUCUGCUCCAUUGAGGAACCCGAAGGGAGAAAGCUGUAAGCGCCACGGUGCCGUUUUUUUCCUUUUUAUCCCCUAACAGGUCUCAUUCUACCCACGAACAGGGUUCGCAGCAGUCACUUGAUGUCGGGGUGUAUUUCAGAGGCAGCAAUAAAAGAAAGUAGAUUUUUUAUUCUGUAACUCUCCAAACCUCAUUGUUUAGUAACA